rnacentral:misc_RNA from 1 species
AACGCACAUUGCGCCCGCCAGCAUUCUGGCGGGCAUGCCUGUUCGAGCGUCACUUCAACCCUCGCGCCCAUCCGGGCAGCGGUGUUGGGGGCCGGCACUGACCCGCCGCCCCCGAAAUACAGUGGCGGCCCCGCUGCAGCCUCCCCUGCGUAGUAGCAACACCUCGCACCGGAGCUCGGCGGCGGCCACGCCGUAAAACCCCCGACCCCCCAUGAGUUUGACCUCGGAUCAGGUAGGACUACCCGCUGAACUUAA